rnacentral:rRNA from 1 species
ACGGCCCAGACUCCUACGGGAGGCAGCAGUGGGGAAUAUUGGACAAUGGGGGGAACCCUGAUCCAGCCAUGCCGCGUGUGUGAAGAAGGCCUUAUGGUUGUAAAGCACUUUAAGCGAGGAGGAGGCUACUUUAGUUAAUACCUAGAGAUAGUGGACGUUACUCGCAGAAUAAGCACCGGCUAACUCUGUGCCAGCAGCCGCGGUAAUACAGAGGGUGCGAGCGUUAAUCGGAUUUACUGGGCGUAAAGCGUGCGUAGGCGGCUUAUUAAGUCGGAU